CCCGCGCUCCGCUGCCCUCGGGAUGCACUCGCCCCGCAGCGCGCCAGCCUCCUGGGGGGUCAGGUGCUUCCCCCGGAGGUUCGAGUCCCCGUUGGCCCUGGACCCCUCGCGUCACUGCCCCAGGCGCCAACGUGCCACGUAAAGCCUCCACGCUCCGCUGCCGCGGGGCCGCACGCACCACGCGCCCGGUCUUGUGCUUCUCCCUGGAGGUCCGAGUGCGCCGUUGCCCUUGGGCCCCUCGUGCCACUGCGGGCCAGGGACUGCACGCGCCUCGCGGCGUCAACUUCUUAGGGACAGCACGUGCCGCGCCAGGUGCCUUUCCCUCCAAGUCCCUGUGCGCCACCAGCCCGGAGUCCGCUUGGCCCAGCUGCCAUCACCCCCAGCCGACGCGGGGCACUCGGACCGGGUCCUGGGGUCCCGAGCCGGCUGAGAGCGACGCCUCACCUCGGAACUGUCUCUACCGCCCUUUCUCACCAUCAGAGCACCCAGCAAGGCCGUGAAGAAACACUGCCCUGAGCCCGGCCUGUGGCCUCCUCCUCAGGCGUGGAGAGCAGGCUCCGGAGCUGAGAGUGCUGCUCUUUCUGGGACUGCGUGAAGAGGAAUAGGGUUAGGGUGUCACGGCUCACCCGCGCCGCAGAGGCCACCGCCACAAGGAGCUGCCCCCAAGAACUCACUUUCUGUUGGGAGACAGGCUGAACCAGCAAAGCCGCUGAGGUGCAAGAUGGGAGGCUGUGAGAAGGGCAGGGAGGAAGCCCGAGCAGGUGGUGGGUCUGCAGAGUGAGGGGAGAGACCGCUUUAGCUAGACCUAGGGGGAGGCGACAUUUACACUGAGCCCUGAACAAGGAGAAGCAGCCCAUCUUUGGAAGAUCUGGGAAGAGAGCUUUCCAGGAUCAGCUGGGCCUUAUGCGCCCCUCCGUGGAGGCGCUGUCCCCAUCAGAACGCUGUGAGUCGGAGGCAGAUGUUGGGGUGACCUGUGGACAGAGGACCCGAGACACUGGUGGAGACCACGUACGCGGCCUCUCACUGUUGUGGUCUCUCCCGUUGCGGAGCACAGGCUCCGGACGCGCAGGCUCAGCGGCCAUGGACGGGCCCAGCCGCUCCGCGGCAUGUGGGAUCUUCCUGGACCGGGACACGAACCCAUGUCCCCUGCAUCGGCAGGCGGACUCUCAACCACUGCGCCACCAGGGAAGCCCUCCCAUUCUCUUUUAAUUUGAAGACUCUGAUAUUACGAUCUCUUUCUCAACUUUGUAUAACGAAGGGACCAGCUGAGUGUUUGCCAAACUUCAGUCAUUCAAGUGCCCCACUGAUGAUUUUUGCCAUGUUUGCAUAAGACUAUAUGCAUUCCAAUGAUAUUUUCCUUUAACUUGACUUUAAAUCGAUUUAUGGAAGAGGGAAGCUGUAUCAUUACCAUAUCUGGAAAAUAGGUAUCCCUUACCCUACAUAGAAGGAAACUGUAAAAAUAUAUACAGCAGAGCUAACGUCUGACACUGCAUGCCAUAUAACAUUACAAGCACCUUACAUGGAUUAACUCAGUUCUUACAUCAACCUAAUGAUGUAGGUACUAUUAUUAUUCCCAUUUUAAAGAGGGGAAAACUGAGACUUGGAGAAACAAAGCAACUCUCUAGAGUCACAGACACUGAGUUGCUGGCGUUCCAAGGCAGGGGUCUGACUCCAGGGCCACACAGGUGACCCCAAAGUAAGUACGUCUGCUCUGACCACUAGCAGAUUCUAUAGCAGAGGUUGGCAAGCUAUAGCCAAUCUGGCCUGCUGCCUGAGUUUUUACUGUCCUCAAGCUAAGAAUAUUUUUCAUUUUUAAAUUUUGAAAUGGUUGGAGGAAAAAAAAUCAAAAGAAGCAGACUAUUUCAAAUUUCCGUGUGUAUAAGGAAGAUUUAUUGGGACCUACCCUGCUCAUUCGUUUAUUUACCAUCUAUGGCUGCCUUUGCUCUAGAACAGCAGAGUUUAGUUGCGAGGGAGACAUCAAAGUCUAAGUGAUUACUCUCUGGCCCUUUACAGAGAAUGUUUGCUGACUUCUUGGUCUACAAAGAAUGGGAUACAAUGUUUUGUUUUUAAAUUCUAGUGGGAAACUAUUACCAUGGAGCCCUACGGGUUCAAGAGGAAUCCUUAAAGAACUAAGACUCUCUUAGAUACAAUGAAAAGGAUUGAUUGAAAGGAAUGCCUUUCUUAACAGGUGGAUUCAGUGUAACUGAUUGCUGGGCUCUCUUAAAAACGCUCCUGGCUCGCGUUUUAGAGAAUCCUAGAUACUCCAGGUGAUGCCCCAAAUCUCUUCCAGCUCAAAAAGUCUGUAUUCCUGAGAGCUGGGCCAUUAUUUCUCCCAACGCCGUGAGUCCCUGGGAAGAAAGCGCUUCAAGACCUUGGCUAAAAUCCUCCCCCUCUGUUUAGGGCUGAAGGUCUAUUUCCUUGCUUAGGUUCAUAUAAACUGUGAGCUCUUCAGCGUGGCCAGGGAAUUGCACCUUCGAUGGAACAAGUUGAAUCUGCCCAGCUGCAGUGGCAUGCGUUAAAAAGCAUCCCCAGCCCCGAAAAUCCAAUUUGGUUUCUCAAAAUCUUCACUGCAAAUAUUGAGCUGGAGCAGGGAAUUAAAUUUGCUCUGGUUCAAAUGUGGUUUGUUGUCAUUCGAACAAAAUGGGUCUCUCUCCCCUGAAUUUGUACAACUUCCUGUUGGACAUUUUGGUGGACUUGCCCAAAGAAAACGAUAAUUUGCUCGACCCUCAUUUGCAUGAUAAAACGACCCUCAUUUGCUAGUAAAUUGAUGCAGGUGGAACUAAGCUUAUUUAAACCCGGAAGCUAAGCUGAAACCACAGACUUCUGUUCUCAGGUCUGGCGGCUCUGGAAGAAGGCUUCAGAGAUACAUACCCAGGAAUGGAAUGGACGUUACAUUUUUUUGCAGCGAAUUUGUACCGAUCCAAUCAAUGGCCUUCAUUUCAGGAACUCAGAAGCUUCUGGAAGUGGGAGGAUUUGCCCCAUUGUUGCUGCAUCCAUUAUCUCACCGCUGCAGUUCUGCUGCUCCUGGCUCAUCUACAUCCAAUCUUCUGUUUACAACGAAGCCCCAGGGAGGCCGCUGGGCGAAAGCAGAGCCUGGCACUAGAGAAGCAUCCUGACAGAAUAAUGUCAGCAAGAGAGCGCUUCUCGCCAGAGUCUAGGACACCUCAGGCACUCCAUCAUCGCUUGUUGAAUUCACGGGACGUCACUUACCUCAUGGAACUUGUAGUCUCCUUGAAAAAUGAGACACAUGUGUCUGCAUCUAAAUAAGAUGUGAGACAAGCUGGGACCAAGGCCCGGUGCUAGUUCUACAGGAAAUCGAUGCUGUCAUACUUGAUCUUCCUCCUUGAAGCGACCUUAUGACGCUGGACAAACAGGACAAACAGCGGACGCCAAAACCACCCGUAUGGACCGACUGGGCUUGGGAAAAUAUUCAUGGAGACCAGGGGAGGUUUUUUUCCUUAAAAGAAGCCAUCGGCUGGGGGAGUCAGGGUUCACCUGUGAGCUAAGAUGGCACGUGGGCAGCCAGCCAUUCAUGCAUUUCGAUGGCAUCUGAGGGAGAGAUGCUGCUACUCACAGCAUAAUUCAAUGGAAGGCUCCUCCCCGGGAGGGGAGUGUCAGUGCCAGGAAUGACAUCAAAGGGCACCGUCUAGAAGUCGUUUUUGAUUAGAAGCUGACCUCAAAAGUACGCUCGCAUCAUUCUGAAAACAUCUGACAGCACCACAGAAACCGACGCAGAACGAGAAAGGACACAGUGGACGAAGGCCAGGACCAGGGCCUUCCCACACGGCUCUCCGGGCUGUCAUUGGCCUGAGUCAAAAUUGGGAUGCCGUCCCCUGUCAGACCCCCGGAUACCUGCAUUGACAUGGGGCCAGCUGGGAGUGAUAGUGGUGACUGUCAUCAUCGUGGUCGUCAUCGCAUGACACUGGCCGAUACUACUGAGUCCUUAUUACACCUGAAGGCCAGAAGUCCAAAAUCACGGUGUCAGCAGGCCGCGCUCCCUCCGAAUGUUCUAGCUUGGGAGGAAUCCUUCACUGCUUUCUCCGGUUUCUGGUGGCUCCAGCCCCCCACCCCGAUAAUCCAGGAUGAUCUCGAGAUCAUUAAUAACGCCAAGGACCCUUUUCCCAAAUAAGGUAACAUUCACAGGUUCCUGGUGGGUAUUUGGGUGGGGGCCACCGUUCAACCUAAUACAGCCAAUAAGGCCUAUUUUCCCCAUCAAGUGGGAGCUUCCUGAGGAUGGAAACUGUGCCCCUUCCUUCCUUCCUUCC